rnacentral:hammerhead_ribozyme from 1 species
GUACUGCUGAAGUGUCCCAAACUAGGACGAAACGGCUGUCCAGUAC